rnacentral:rRNA from 1 species
GAGUUUGAUCCUGGCUCAGGAUGAACGCUAGCGGCAGGCUUAAUGCAUGCAAGUCGAGGGGCAGCAGGACUGUAGCAAUACAGUUGCUGGCGACCGGCAAACGGGUGCGGAACACGUACGCAACUUACCCUUGUCUGGGGCAUAGCCCACCGAAAGGUGGAUUAACUCCCCAUAAGAUAGUAGAGUGGCAUCACUUCGCUAUUAAAUCUUUGGAGGACAGGGAUGGGCGUGCGGCUGAUUAGGUAGUUGGCGGGGUAACGGCCCACCAAGCCUGCGAUCAGUAACUGGUGUGAGAGCACGACCAGUCACACGGGCACUGAGACACGGGCCCGACUCCUACGGGAGGCAGCAGUAAGGAAUAUUGGUCAAUGGACGCAAGUCUGAACCAGCCAUGCCGCGUGGAGGAUGAAGGCCCUCUGGGUUGUAAACUUCCUUUAUGGGGGACGAAACACUCUUAUUCUUAGGAGCUUGACGGUACCCCAGGAAUAAGCACCGGCUAACUCCGUGCCAGCAGCCGCGGUAAUACGGAGGGUGCAAGCGUUAUCCGGAUUCACUGGGUUUAAAGGGUGCGUAGGCGGGCUUGUAAGUCCGUGGUGAAAUCUCUGAGCUUAACUCGGAAACUGCCAUGGAUACUAUGGGUCUUGAAUACUCGGGAGGUGAGCGGAAUAUGUCAUGUAGCGGUGAAAUGCUUAGAUAUGACAUAGAACACCAAUUGCGAAGGCAGCUUGCUACAGAGUUAUUGACGCUGAGGCACGAAAGCGUGGGGAUCAAACAGGAUUAGAUACCCUGGUAGUCCACGCCCUAAACUAUGGAUACUCGACGUUG